AAUAUUGCGCAAUGGAGGGAACUCUGACGCAGCGACGCCGCGUGAGCGAUGAAGGUCUUCGGAUCNUCAAGCUCUGUCCUUGGGGANGAAGGUCUUCGGACUUGACGGUACCUAAGGAGGAAGCCCCGGCUAACUACGUUCCAGCAGCCGCGGUAAUACGUAGGGGGCAAGCGUUGUCCGGAAUUAUUGGGCGUAAAGGGUGCGUAGGCGGCCUUUUAAGUCAGAUGUGAAAGCCCACGGCUUAACCGUGGGACUGCAUUUGAAACUGGAGGGCUUGAGUAUCGGAGAGGGUAGUGGAAUUCCUAGUGUAGCGGUGAAAUGCGUAGAUAUUAGGAGGAACACCAGUGGCGAAGGCGGCUUUCUGGACUGUAACUGACGCUGAGGCACGAAAGCGUGGGGAGCAAAC
rnacentral:rRNA from 1 species